rnacentral:lncRNA from 1 species
GCAGGCAGUGAGGCUCUGCAGGAAUCUCACACGGUCUGCCCUGGCGCUCCCUUCUCAUUGCCACCAUGGCUGGGGACCAGGACGAGCGGCCCCAAGGCAAGGGGCCAGGGCAGGGGGCCACUGGCACGGGUGCAGCUCCCUGAGGACUGCUGCUUGGGGGCCUGGUCAGGAGUGUGGCAGGAGGGGAGAGGAAGCAUGUUCUCUUCCAGCAGAGUUCCUAAGACCUACUGUGUUUAGGCCCUGCCAACAACAUGCUCAUCUAGUGGGGAAGAUAGUCACAGAGGGGGUGAUGAUGACACAGUGCUGCAAUGGAGGGAGAAACAGGGGGCUGUGGGAGCACAUUAGCAGGUUUGCCUGAGUCUGCGCUGGGAGGGGAAUUCUCCAAAGAAAAGUGUAAUGGGGAGGUACGUUUGAGCUUGUUCUUUGAGAGCAUCUAGGAACUUAUCAGACGGAAGAAGUCAUUCCAGGAAGACAGAAAGGACUGUGUGGUGGCUAAGAAUCUAGAAAAACCUGCUAUGUUUGCGUAACAGUAAAAUGGUUGAUUAUGAGGUUGAGAGUUUGGUGGCUUUAAAUUAGUGGAAGAAGAAAUGGACCCCAGGACCAAGGGUGGUAUGCAGAGAUCAUAUUUGGCCAAGUAGCUUAUUUGAGACAGAUUUUCUGGGAAGAAUUUUCAGCAGGGAAGCUAUGAAUGGAAAGGAGACUUUGGGGCCCAUAGGCCUCUCCUGCACUCCGUGUGAUCUCAAAGGCCACAAAGGGCCGCCCACAUGAGGAAGAAGUCUCGGCCCAGCUGAGGGUCCACACACUCUGAGAAGGAUGGCUCAUAUGGCCCAGACCGGGGCUGCCUGAUUUUGUACUUCAUCAAAGAAGUCAGUGCAAAAGAGCCAGGAGAUAGGAGAGAAGGCUCUCCUAACUACACAGAGGCAGAAUAGGCUCCUCUGAGUGCAGCAACAGGACAGGCUCUGAGGCCGGGACAGGCUUGGCAGAGUCCUGCCAACUGGCUGAGAGCCUGUCCUCUCCCCGCUGCACAACAGCAGAUACUGCCUGCCAGAAUACAAACGUGGGAUCUGUCUCGCAGAGAAACAUGGGGGCUCCGAGCUCAGG